rnacentral:tRNA from 1 species
GGCUUCGUCAUCCAACAGGUAGGAUGCGCCGCUCGGCGUAAUGCGGGUUCGAAUCCCGUCGAGGCACG